rnacentral:hammerhead_ribozyme from 1 species
AUCCGGCUGACGAGUCCAAAAUAGGAUGAAACGCUCACCCUGGAU